CACAAAUAAGCAAACUGGAAAUAACAUUGAUAUAAAAAGCAGAACUGUUCACAUUGCCUGUACAUUCUGAGUUCAAUAUAGACAUCAAGCUCUCUGUGUGUUAAGCAUUGCAGUGCGAAGGCAUCUUUUGAAAUGAAUUGGUUAAUCGUCUGCUGUUUGAUGUGCUUGACCUUCACCUUGUCCACACAGCAAGAAAUGGAUUGCUUAGACAAAGGAGUAUUUUACCCGAAUGGCUACAGAUUCCAACCGAACCCGUGUACAACUUGUUACUGCACCGACGGGAAAUACGACUGUUCCACUAUCGCGUGUGGCUGGCCCAGGUGUAAAGGAAAUGCAAGGCCUUCCGUAAAGAAAGGCCACUGCUGUCCAUCGUGUCCUUAGAUAAGAGACUGUGGUAUCGGCCACUUUUAAUCUACUGUAAUAUUUGUAUGGUUGUAUGAUUAGCAAUAUGAAGAUAAAUUAAAAUUGUCAAUGUAAAUGUU